rnacentral:misc_RNA from 1 species
AAAGUACCAAAUCUUAGACAAUAUAGCUUGGAAACAUUAAAAAAAAAAAAAAAAUUACGCAGCUUCAUGAAACAGCACAUAAAUCCAAUUGUGCAGUACACGACCACAGAAGCAAUGCCAUCCAAAGACAAGAAGAGUGAAAAAGUCUUAUAAAUAGAUUUAAUAAUAAUAGUCAUAAACAAAGGCACUUACUGUUUGUUCAGGGGUAUGCCACACAUAUGAGCAAUCUUGCAAUUAGGAGGGCUUAUAUUAAUUAAAAAGUUCAAUGGCUAAUCCAGCAUUAUUCAUUUACAGUCCUUUAACUGAAAAACCAUUAAAACAGUAGUAAACUAGCAAUAUCAGAUCUUACCGUAUUAAAAUCCACCUCCUUAA